CCUGGUGGAGCAAUGGUUAAGCACUUGGCUGCUAACCAAAAAGUGGUGGUUUGAACCCACCCAGCAGCU
rnacentral:tRNA from 1 species